rnacentral:antisense_RNA from 1 species
CGGCCUGCAGUCCGUGCCUCUCUGCCCGCGCGGGGACCACACAGUUGGAGAGGCUGCCGGGCACCGGCGCGGGCGAUGCUCAGCAUGGACCUCCGGCCGGCCAGCCUGGGCUUGUUUUCCCGGUAGUACUGAGUUCUGAGAGAGAGUAACUGCAUGGGAGGCCUUGAAGACUGGGCUUGGGCCUGCUGUACCCACAUGACUGCUUCUCUCACGUUCUACUGGCCAAGCUCUAUGGGCAGCUCAGACACAAGGGAAGAGACUCUGCUGCUUCCUGGGAGAAGCUGCAAGACCACAUUGCGAAGCAACAUGUUGUUGCUGCUCCCAUGUUACCUUUGUCAGUGACCUGAGAUGCAGACUGGAUCUAGGGAAUGGUGUUUCCUGUGUGAUGCCUUCCAGGAGUAUCUGCACCACGGGCAGUGCCAGGCCGAGGACAGAGGGCCUAAUGGAGGACACUCUACAACUCCAUCCUGCUGCUGGGGGAGCUUGGGGGCGCCUCCACUAGGGUCUUCAGAGGAAAGGCAUGUGUGUGAUCUGUGGCCUGCCAGCAGGAGAGCUGGGGGAGGCCAGCAUCUUGAGGCUGUUGGCAGCAAGUGCAGGCGGAGGCCUCGGGCCAGAGGGGAGGUGGCAGGGCUCAGGUGCCCUGUGCUUCCUCGGAGAAGACACUUGGGAUGAAGGCUUAGUCCUCCCUGGUAAACCUGGAGGCCUGUGAACACUGGGGUUAGCCCCAACAAGGGAGGAGGUUCCCGCUGCCUCACUAAGAACAGCCUGCUGCUACACUCACCCUGACAGCUGCUCCGCUCCCAGUGAACCCCACCCUGAGAAGGCUCAUCGGGGCCACGGACCUCCCUCAGCGCUGCAUUCAGAAUCCCUCAGGAGUUGUAAACUUCCU